rnacentral:lncRNA from 1 species
GAAGCUUGGUUUGUGUUAUCAAGCAUCAUUUUUUCAAAAACUCUAAGCAUUUCAUACAUUUUUAUUGUUUGCCUCGAACAGAAUUUUUAAGAGUCUUGAGUGAGGUUGGUGUGUGGCUAAUAGGGAUGUCCUUACUUUGGCACACCAUACCAAAGGGUGAUCAGAAAUGUGUUAGGAAAAGGUCAUGCAAUUCUCUUAAAGUAGCUAGUGGUAGGGUGGUGACAUUGUCAAAGGUGCUUAGAUAUGCAAUGAGGUAGCUCCACUGUAUUAUAACGUAUAACAAAUGUGAAAUUUUUGUCUCUUGCUUUGAACAACUUGACAAAAA